AAGAAUAAUAAACUUUCUAAUUCAAUUUAAUUAUAAUUUACAUAUUGAUCUAUCAUUAAAUUUAAGUUAACCUAACUAAAUUACAUUCAAAUAAUUCAUUAACAACUAUAUAUAAAAAAUAAAUUAAAUGAAAUUCAAAGUGUAACUUCCACUUAAAGAACAAGAUUCUUUAAUAAUUAAGUACCGCCAAAUAAACUAACUUUAACUUUCCAUUAAUUACUAUAAAAAUUUCAUUAAUUCAUCUAGGGUAUCUAAUCCUAUUGCCUCAAAUUAACUAAAGUUGAAAAUUUACAAUUAAAUUAAAAUCUAAAAAUUUCACUUAAAUAUUUUAAUUAAAAUUAAACUUAACUUCCAAAAAAUAAAUAAAUCUUAAUUUCACCAGCCAUGUAUAACCG
rnacentral:rRNA from 1 species